AGAGUUUGAUCCUGGCUCAGGACGAACGCUGGCGGCGUGCUUAACACAUGCAAGUCGAAGGAAAGGCCUCAAGCUUGCUUGGGGUACUCGAGUGGCGAACGGGUGAGUAACACGUGGGGAUCUGCCCUGCACUUCGGGAUAAGCCUGGGAAACUGGGUCUAAUACCGGAUAGGACCCUCUUUAGUGUGGGGGGUGGAAAGUUUUUUCGGUGUGGGAUGAGCCCGCGGCCUAUCAGCUGUUGGUGGGGUAAUGGCCUACCAAGGCGUCGACGGGUAGCCGGCCUGAGAGGGUGGACGCCACAUUGGGACUGAGAUACGGCCCAGACUCCUACGGGAGGCAGCAGUGGGGAAUAUUCACAAUGGGCGGAAGCCUGAUGCAGCGACGCCGCGUGGGGGAUGACGGCCUUCGGGUUGAAACCUCUUUCGACAGGGACGAAGCUUUUGUGACGGUACCUGUAUAAGAAGCACCGGCUACUACGUGCCAGCAGCCGCGGUAAUACGUAGGGUGCGAGCGUUGUCCGGAAUUACUGGGGUAAAGAGCUCGUAGGUGGUUUGUCGCGUCGUCUGUGAAAUUCCGGGGCUUAACUUCGGCGUGCAGGCGAUACGGGCAAUACUUGAGUGCUGUAGGGGAGACUGGAAUUCCUGGUGUACGGUGAAAUGCGCAGAUAUCAGGAGGAACACCGAUGGCGAAGGCAGGUCUCUGGGCAGUACUGACGCUGAGGAGCGAAAGCAUGGGUAGCGAACAGGAUUAGAUACCCUGGUAGUCCAGCCGUAAACGGUGGGCGCUAGGUGUAGGGGUCUUCCACGACUUCUGUGCCGUAGCUAACCAUUAAGCGCCCCGCCUGGGGAGUACGGCCGCAAGGCUAAAACUCAAAGGAAUUGACGGG
rnacentral:rRNA from 1 species